GGUCCUGCGCCGAAAAUGUCCGGGGCUGAAACGCACCACCGAAACUAAGGGAUCCGAAAGGAUCGGUAGAGGAGCAUUGCAUGCGGGACGAAGCAGUACCGUAAGGAGCUGUGGACUGCAUGGAAGAGAGAAUGCCGGAAUGAGUAGCGAGAUAGAGGUGAGAAUCCUCUAGGCCGAAUAUCCAAGGUUUCCAGGGUAAAGCUGAUCUGCCCUGGGUAAGUCGGGGCCUAAGGUGAGGACGAGAGUCGUAGCCGAUGGACAACAGGUGGAGAUUCCUGUACCAUGAUAUGACAGAACUGUGGGGACACGUGCAGAGAGCGGAAGCCGGGAAUGGGAUCCCGGUGCAAGCGAGGUACCAGCCGCAUUGGAAAAACCGUGCGGCAAUGGGAAGACGUGAUGCGGAGUGAAGUUUAGUAAUGAAGUCCGUGAGCUGUGCGUCAAGAAAAGCCGCUAUUGUUCAUACCAUACCCGUACCGUAAACCGACACAGGUGGAUGUGGAGAGAAUCCUAAGGCCGGCGGAAGAAGCAUUGUCAAGGAACUCGGCAAAAUGACCCCGAAACUUCGGGAGAAGGGGUGCCUGCGAGAGCAGGCCGCAGAGAAUAGGCUCAAGCAACUGUUUAGCAAAAACACAGGUCUAUGCGAAACCGAAAGGUGAGGUAUAUGGGCUGACGCCUGCCCGGUGCUGGAAGGUUAAGAGGAGAGGUUAGCGCAAGCGAAGCUUUGAAUUUAAGCCCCAGUAAACGGCGGCCGUAACAAUAACGGUCCUAAGGUAGCGAAAUUCCUUGUCGGGUAAGUUCCGACCCGCACGAAAGGCGUAAUGAUUUGAGCGCUGUCUCGACAAUGCAUCCGGUGAAAUUGAAGUACCAGUGAAGAUGCUGGUUACCUGCGCCAGGACGGAAAGACCCCAUGGAGCUUUACUCCAGUUUGGUACUGGGAUCCGGUACUGCAUGUACAGGAUAGGUGGGAGGCUGAGAAUCGGUAACGCCAGUUGCCGAGGAGCCGCUGUUGGGAUACCACCCUUGCAGUAUUGGGUUUCUAACCAGCCGCCGUGACCCGGCGGUGGGACAAUGCCAGACGGGGAGUUUGACUGGGGCGGUCGCCUCCGAAAGGGUAUCGGAGGCGCCCAAAGGUUCCCUCAGGAUGGACGGAAACCAUCCAAAGAGUGCAAAGGCAGAAGGGAGCUUGACUGCGACACCGACGGGUGGAGCAGGUACGAAAGUAGGGCUUAGUGAUCCGGUGGUAUUAAGUGGGAAUGCCAUCGCUCAACGGAUAAAAGCUACCCUGGGAUAACAGGCUUAUCACUCCCAAGAGUUCACAUCGACGGAGUGGUUUGGCACCCGAUGUCGGCUCAUCGCAUCCUGGGGCUGUAGUAGGUCCCAAGGGUUGGGCUGUUCGCCCAUUAAAGCGGUACGCGAGCUGGGUUCAGAACGUCGUGAGACAGUUCGGUCCCUAUCCGGCGUGGGCGUAGGAUAUCUGAGAGGAGCUGUCCUUAGUACGAGAGGACCGGGAUGGACGGGCCGCUGGUGCACCGGUUAGACUGCCAAGUCUAUAGCCGGGUAGCCAAGCCCGGAAGGGAUAAACGCUGAAGGCAUCUAAGCGUGAAGCCCCCCUCAAGAUGAGAUAUCCCAUCCGAAAGGAGUAAACCCCCUUGAAGACGACGAGGUCGAUAGGGCAGAGGUGGAAGUGUGGUAACACAUGGAGCUGACUGCUACUAAUAGGGUGAGGGCUUGAC
rnacentral:rRNA from 1 species